rnacentral:ncRNA from 2 species
CGCGACUCGACGGGAGAACCGGCCAUGCCGGUGCCGAAGGAGCAACCGCCCCGGAAACUCUCAGGCCCCGAGGACCGUCGAUGUCGC